UAAUACAUCGGAACGUGUCCCGUAGUGGGGGAUAGCCCGGCGAAAGCCGGAUUAAUACCGCAUAUGCUCUACGGAGGAAAGUGGGGGACUCGCAAGGGCCUCACGCUAUGGGAGCGGCCGAUGUCCGAUUAGCUUGUUGGCGGGGUAAUGGCCCACCAAGGCGACGAUCGGUAGCUGGUCUGAGAGGAUGAUCAGCCAGACUGGGACUGAGACACGGCCCAG
rnacentral:rRNA from 1 species